rnacentral:rRNA from 1 species
GAUGAACGCUGGCGGCGUGCCUAAUACAUGCAAGUCGAGCGAACAGACGAGGAGCUUGCUCCUCUGACGUUAGCGGCGGACGGGUGAGUAACACGUGGAUAACCUACCUAUAAGACUGGGAUAACUUCGGGAAACCGGAGCUAAUACCGGAUAAUAUAUUGAACCGCAUGGUUCAAUAGUGAAAGACGGUUUUGCUGUCACUUAUAGAUGGAUCCGCGCCGCAUUAGCUAGUUGGUAAGGUAACGGCUUACCAAGGCAACGAUGCGUAGCCGACCUGAGAGGGUGAUCGGCCACACUGGAACUGAGACAGGGUCAAGACUCCUACGGGAGGCAGCAGUAGGGAAUCUUCCGCAAUGGGCGAAAGCCUGACGGAGCAACGCCGCGUGAGUGAUGAAGGUCUUCGGAUCGUAAAACUCUGUUAUUAGGGAAGAACAAAUGUGUAAGUAACUAUGCACGUCUUGACGGUACCUAAUCAGAAAGCCACGGCUAACUACGUG